GGGGCUGUAGCUUAGUGGCAGAGCACUUGCCUAGCAUGCAUGAGGCACUGGGUCCAAUCCUCAGCACCA
rnacentral:tRNA from 1 species